rnacentral:rRNA from 1 species
UAUGUGCAGCGGGCGGAAUGAGUAGUGUAGCGGUGAAAUGCUUAGAUAUUACUCAGAACACCGAUUGCGAAGGCAGCUCGCUAACAUACAUCUGACGCUGAGGCACGAAAGCGUGGGGAUCAAACAGGAUUAGAUACCCUGGUAGUCCACGCCGUAAACGAUGAUAACUCGUUGUUGGGUCUUCGGACUCAGUGACUAAGGGAAACCGAUAAGUUAUCCACCUGGGGAGUACGUUCGCAAGAAUGAAACUCAAAGGAAUUGACGGGGGCCCGCACAAGCGGAGGAACAUGUGGUUUAAUUCGAUGAUACGCGAGGAACCUUACCCGGGCUUGAAAGUUAGUGACGGACUUGGAAACAGGUCUUCCCUUCGGGGCACGAAACUAGGUGCUGCAUGGUUGUCGUCAGCUCGUGCCGUGAGGUGUCGGGUUAAGUCCCAUAACGAGCGCAACCCCUGUUCUUAGUUACCAGCACGUAAUGGUGGGGACUCUAAGAAGACUGCCGGUGUAAACUGUGAGGAAGGUGGGGAUGACGUCAAAUCAGCACGGCCCUUACGUCCGGGGCGACACACGUGUUACAAUGGCCGGUACAGAGGGCCGCAACACAGCGAUGUGAAGCAAAUCUCAAAAAGCCGGUCUCAGUUCGGAUUGCAGGCUGCAACUCGCCUGCAUGAAGUUGGAUUCGCUAGUAAUCGCGCAUCAGCCAUGGCGCGGUGAAUACGUUCCCGGGCCUUGUACACACCGCCCGUCAAGCCAUGGAAGUUUGGGGUGCCUGAAGUACGUGACCGUAAAAGGAGCGUCCUAGGGCAAAACAGAUAACUAGGGCUAAGUCGUAACAAGGCCGUAAA